UCAGCAGGUUUCAUGCAACUUUAUGAAGCAAAAUUAAUCCAUUCUAUAGGGUGAUAGCUAGAUGGAUCUACUAAGCAACAUAUUUUAUAUAUUUGAUAUUUAGAAACUAAACAGUUUCUUUUUUUAAUUUUUUUUUUUUUUUAGGAGGUCGACUUGAUGGACUUUUAUUGCUGUGAAUGGUGAAAUGUGUCUGGAACUAUAAUUGUACCCAUAACCAGGCUUUGGAAAAUUGUUCCUGCAGCCUGGUCUUUCUGGGUCAGCAACUCCACGGCGUCAUUUUUGCAGAUGCAUUUGGAACACGGUGUAAAAACAGCUCAAGAUGAUGUAGACUGUUAUAGUGAGGCACAGAGUAAUGAAGGUGAGGAUAACCACAAAGCCACCGAUGCUCCACCCAUCUUGAAAACCUUUCUCUGAUAUCUUCCAGAAGAGUCUGUCAUACAGGAACUCUGAAACAUGUCCAGGACUGUCCUCUGCUUUGGAUCCUGUGAAAAAAACAGGUUGUAUCCAUUUGAAACCUACACCCCCAAAUACAGAACACCAAGAGAAAAAGUGACAGACAUUCUACUUUUGUAAGGUACAGUAGAUACAGUGAUGUCCAUAAAGAACCCUUUAGUUUUUGUCUUUAAUGUGACUGAGACGUCACACAGAUUUAUAACAUGCAUAACAGGAGAGGUGAUGACAGAGCAUUUGAUAAAAUUAACAUGAUUUUGAAUUCACAAUCUCUGUCUUGAACUGCUCAAUCGCUCAGUUGUUGUUUGAUUUACAUUCAUGCAACCCCAAUUUUAUUUAUUAUUUUUUUAAAUGAUCACAUAGAAGAGACUACUUUUUUAGUUAAACAAUAAGCUGGCUUUUGUACAUUUUAGUUUAAAAUCUGUAUGUGGCUCAAUUGAUCCAUUAUAUAUAUCAAGUGAAAUCUAAGAAAAUCUGACACUAUCUCCUGAAAAAUAUGAGAAACGAAGGAUAAAAUGACAGGUUAUAAGGUAAAUGGCUGGUAGUUUCAACUCCAGAGACCCUCUUUGGAUACUAGUCAACAUCAUGAAACGCCCACCAGUCAACGUAGCAAUUUUGACAGUUUGUUUGACCCAGGACUGAAUGGCAAGGGGUGUUCAGGUCAGGUUUGCAUGGUGGCAUCAUGCUUGAGUGUAUCCAGUGCCACUGUCCCUCACCGUUCGUAAGCAUCAAAUGCCCAU